rnacentral:rRNA from 1 species
GAUGAAGGACGUGCUAAUCUGCGAUAAGCGUCGGUAAGGUGAUAUGAACCGUUAUAACCGGCGAUUUCCGAAUGGGGAAACCCAGUGUGUUUCGACACACUAUCAUUAACUGAAUCCAUAGGUUAAUGAGGCGAACCGGGGGAACUGAAACAUCUAAGUACCCCGAGGAAAAGAAAUCAACCGAGAUUCCCCCAGUAGCGGCGAGCGAACGGGGAGCAGCCCAGAGCCUGAAUCAGUGUGUGUGUUAGUGGAAGCGUCUGGAAAGGCGCGCGAUACAGGGUGACAGCCCCGUACACAAAAAUGCACAUACUGUGAGCUCGAUGAGUAGGGCGGGACACGUGGUAUCCUGUCUGAAUAUGGGGGGACCAUCCUCCAAGGCUAAAUACUCCUGACUGACCGAUAGUGAACCAGUACCGUGAGG